CUGUGUGUUUGCAUAUGUGUCCUCCCUCUCUGCUCCCAGCUGUUAAGAGGUCAGUGUUGAUCAGAGGCUGUCCAGGCCUUUCAGAGCCACUGAACCACCAGCAGCACAAUGAUGAUGUUACUGACUCUACUGCUGACCAUCCUGGGGCUCCUGGUUCAGGGUUCAUCAGGAAACAUCAUCCUUACUCAGACUCCUGGAUCUCAGUCUGUUGUUCAGGGUCAGACUGUCUCCAUCAAAUGUAAAACCAGUUCUGGUGUUUUAGACUACCUCCACUGGUACCUUCAAAAACCUGCAGAAGCUCCUAAACUCCUGAUAUAUAGAGCUACAAAUCGUCAAUCUGGAGUUCUAGAUCGUUUCAGUGGAAGUGGUUAUGGUUCUUACUUCACUCUGACCAUCAGUGGAGUUCAGGCUGAAGAUGCAGGAGUUUAUUACUGUCAGCAGGGUUGGAGCACCCCGUUCACACAGUGAUAGAACGUCAUACAAAAACCUCCCUCAGCUGCAGAGGAACUGAUCCGACUCAGCAGCUGAACUGAAACACUAAAAGCUUCCCCACAUGUUACAUUCAAAACUGAUAUACAAACAUGCUUUAUAUAUAUGAUUUCAAGCUAUUUAUCCAUUUCCUUUCAUAACUGUUUCAUUUGUUUUAGAUUUUCUGAUUUAAGCAGACUUUGAUAGAGUGACAUGCCUUGAAAAUUGAAAAAGCUGAAAAUGUACGUUUGUAUAAAAACUUUUUUUUCU